UACAGAGGUCUCGAGCGUUAGGCGGAAUCACUGGGCUUAAAGCGUGUGUAGGCGGAUCGGUAAGUACCUUGUGAAAUCCCACAGCUUAACUGUGGAACUGCUUGGUAUACUGCCAGUCUUGAGCCACUUAGGGGCUACCGGAACAAAUGGUGGAGCGGUGAAAUGCGUAGAUAUCAUGUGGAACGCCAAUGGUGAAAACAGGUAGCUGGGAGUGUGCUGACGCUGAGACACGAAAGCCAGGGGAGCAAACGGG
rnacentral:rRNA from 1 species